UACGUAGGGUGCGAGCGUUAAUCGGAAUUACUGGGCGUAAAGCGUGCGCAGGCGGUUUCUGAAGUCCGUUGUGAAAGCCCCGGGCUUAACCUGGGAAUGGCAGUGGAAACUAGGAGACUUGAAUCUGGCAGAGGGGGGUGGAAUGCCACGGUGUAGCAGUGAAAUGCGUAGAGAUGUGGCGGAAUACCGAUGGCGAAGGCAGCCCCCUGGGCCAA
rnacentral:rRNA from 1 species